rnacentral:rRNA from 1 species
GACGAACGCUGGCGGCGUGCUUAACACAUGCCAGUCGAACGGAAAGGCCUCUUUCGGGGGGUACUCGAGUGGCGAACGGGUGAGUAACACGUGAGUAACCUGCCCUUGACUUUGGGAUAACUUCAGGAAACUGGGGCUAAUACCGGAUAGGAGCUCCUGCUGCAUGGUGGGGGUUGGAAAGUUUCGGCGGUUGGGGAUGGACUCGCGGCUUAUCAGCUUGUUGGUGGGGUAGUGGCUUACCAAGGCUUUGACGGGUAGCCGGCCUGAGAGGGUGACCGGCCACAUUGGGACUGAGAUACGGCCCAGACUCCUACGGGAGGCAGCAGUGGGGAAUAUUGCACAAUGGGUGGAAGCCGGAUGCAGCAACGCCGUGUGCGGGAGGACGGCCUUCGGGUUGUAAACCGCUUUCGCUCAUGACGAAGCUUUGUGUGACGGUAGUGGGUAAAGAAGCACCGGCUAACUACGUG